GGGGGACUUGUGCUGGAAAUUGCAAACAGGAGAGAAGCUGCACGAAGAGAUAAUAAUCACUGUUGAGAAUACUGUCAAUUUUUGAGAGUGAGUUUCUGAUGGAAAAGGAGCAGAAAAUAUCUGUCAUUUCAGUUCAAAGGAGGAGCCACUUUGCAAAAGAAGAAAUGUACACGCUAUCACAUCAGGAAGUAAAUUGAUGGAUAGUCAAGCAGACGCUAUGUGUUUCACUAUCACAGACAAAGCUGCAAUGAACAGCUGGUCCCUGGGCAUUUGCCCAAGACUCACUCAGAAUGGAGGUGACCUCGAGGGUGGAGUCCUAGGCUCAGCUGUCCAGGCGGCUCCCAUCCGGCGGGGCAGACCUCACAGCACCCGCUGUCACCAUCACCGUGCAGGACAGAGAGCCCUAAUGUGGCUGCACUUGGGGGAAAUGCUUCUGUGAUAUGACCCGUGAUGCCUCUUCCGUGCACAGCAAUUGUCUAGAGUGCCUCCCCCGGCACCACUGAGCUUCGAGGGGACAGGAAGAAGCUUUCUGCCCUUUCCUAAGGAGGGGCGAUCAGGACCUGCAGAAACCAUCAAGGUUUCCAUUGUUCCCCCUUCCACAAAAAAUUCACUGCUUCUAAGACCCUCCCGUGAACAAAAUUUUGGAGCCACAGAUGC